CGCCUCGAGGGCUGUCGGGGCUUCCUUGUGGCGUCUGCACCCGGGGCGUUCUCCCGCCGGUCGCUGCUCCGCCUACGUCCAGGCUCCUCCCGGCUGCCUGAGUUGCGCAAUCCGUAGCCGGGGAAGCGCUACGUGGAGACCGCGCUAAGUGGAAGCCGAGCUCUGGAGCUGGGGAACAGGAGGGCGGACCUUGAAUAGAUGCUGGACAUUCCUCAUCAGAAACCUGAGGAGGAUACUAAAAAGACAGCCACAAUUUUCCUUCUGCUUGCUGCCAAACUUCUUGAGGCCAGCUGUUGGGGUAAGAUUUUCUAGGAUUUUACAUACAUACAUAUACGUAUACACACACACACACACACACAUAUACAUACCUACAUACAUACAUAUACACACAAAUACUGCAAUCUGAGGUUUCAAAUGCCGUCUUAGUUUUCUGUGUCAAAGGGCUAGAAAAUGUGGAAAUGAGGGAAGGUAGUAGAAGGAUGGGUGAAGGAGAGAAGGAGAGAGAGAGAAAAGGAAGACAAAGUAUCAUGGAAGGAACAAGGGUUUUGCAAUCAGACAACCAGCUUGGUCACUUUGUGACCUUGGGAGAAAGUUACUUAAACACUCUAGGUCAGUAAAAGACUUGUUAUUCCAGGUCUAUCUUUGUACUCACAAUAUCUGGCAUGUAAAAAGUGCCCAAUUGUGUGUCAGCAUUAUUAUUAUCACAUACACAUGUUGGUAAUAAAAGGAAUUGGAAUCAAAUAAAUUUGCCAUUCAAGUUUUCAAAUCUUAGAAAAGGCUUAUGCAUACCAAUACACAUGGGCGCAGCCAUGAGGCAUUCUGGGACUCCAGGAGCAAAAGCUGAUGGGAAAGGACCCCCAUUCAAUUUUUGAACCAGGAGAAAUAAGACAAGGGAGUCAUCAGUGGAGGUCAAUUUAUGGCCCUCAUUACUGAUCAAUGCCGCUUUAUAGAGCUGAGCUUCUAUCUGUGAGCAGGUGGGAUUCUCACACCAAACUCCAGCAGUUGACCAAUUUACUCAUCACCCUGAGGCCACACCAGAACAUAGCAGUCUUCCCCUUGUGCAGAAAGAUGCCUUCUGUGGAUAUUCCCUAAGAAAAGGAACAGAAGCAAGAGCUAGGCCAGUGUGACUUCUUUCUCCUUCUAAACUCACCAAGCAGGCUAAGUCAGUUCACCUCCCAGGGUGGGAGUGGGGGCAAUGUGUAAAGGAACCGAAGAGGCCGGGUGUGUUAUGCCAUUGGAUGUCCUUCAACCUGGACAAGAUAAAACAAGAGAGGGUUGGAUGUGAGAUUCCCACCUUCUAUUGGAUCAUAGUUAGUAAUGGGAGGUAACAGAACUGGCAGCAUUUAAUCAGUCCAUAGAACUGGCCCUGAGUGGGAGGAAAGGCUACUGCAGUAUGCUUCAAAAUGGUCAACAAUUAGCUCUCUGGGGAAAAAACAAAAUGAUAUCCAUUUAUAAGUUUUACUGAUACAAAGGUUGUGUAGCACACAAUUUAUAAGUAAUAAUAAAACAUACAAUCUCCUUUAAAUUCCAUAUAGCCAAUUGAUUCUCACUAAAUGUUUUCACUGAUUGUUGCUGAACUCUUGUAUCCAUAGCCAACCUGUGGUUACAGUUCAACCAUGAUUUGAUAAGUGGAGUAAUUUCCACCAUCCAGAUAACAAAAGAUGUAAAUAACUCACAAGCACAGGCAAUAGUAAAAUGUAGUAAGAUUAUUGAGAAGUGAUGAGGUUGUGUAUUUAUGACCUUUGCUUUUAAUGUAAAUUAAUUGUAUGUUUAUAUAAUUUAAAUUUUAAUAAUGGCUGUGUUUAACAGUCCAACUUGUAAAAUGCCUGAAAACUUAUCAGUCAGCACACCACUGAGGGAUAUCCCAUAAUCCGAAUUAUGUUCGGCCCCCACCUAAGGAGAACAGCAUCCACCAGGGGGCAGUGUGGCUCCAGGUGGUCCCUUAUGCAGGGAGCCAGCCCUCAGGCUGCAGUUACUAGAGGAAUAGUCAGAAGGUUGAGACUUAGGGCUUCUCUCUGGGUGUUGACCCAGGAACAAUCUGGAGACCAAAACACAUGACCUGAAAUGCUAGUGGAGAAGGGGUCAGGGGACAAUCCACCUGCUCCCUUCACCCAUGUGGCAACAGGACAGGGCAGUAAGGCCCAUUGCAGACCCCGCUCUCUGGUGAUGUGAAGAUGUACUCUGGACAGAAGAUAUUCUCGGGCUCAGGAGCUUGAGUGAGACAGAAUUUAAUUACCUAAAAUUGGGUUCAGGGUCUGUAGUUGAGAGAGCCAGGGAGGAGAGAUCAACACUAGAAGCAAAGCAGAAUUUCCUAGUCAGCUAAAGAAUGUGGAGCCUUGGGGGACACAAGCAGAAUCAUAAAAAUCCAAUUUCCAAACUGCUUUCUUCCCUGUACACAGGAGCUGUAGUUUAGUUUUUAAAAGUAGGAGCAAGUUAUGUAGCAUAACGUGCUAUUCAACAGAGGCUCUAUACUGAUAAAUACUUCAUAUUUAAUUUAUCCUAAUUCCAUUUUAUAUGCUUACAGUCACUUUCUAAAAGCCCCACUUGAGGCUUAAAUGCCUCUUGUAGGACUUUGAAAGUGUAGUUUCUUGGUGACUUAACUUUUCCGUAUCCAAAGUGAAUCUAGCCACCCUAACAGAGCAAAAGCAAAACUAGUACCUGGAAAAAUUACAUUUUCUUACUAAUGUAGGCAAAAUUUUCCCUAGAAUAGUAAGCUAUCCAAAUCAUUUAUAUAAAGUUUUUGUUUUUUCUCUAUACUCACUUGUUAGGAAAUUGCUUCCUUAUUUUGUUUAUUUAAGAUCUAGCUUUGUAAGUCCAGGAUUUCAAAAGAGUUGUGUGUAUCUCUUUGCUUGCUUCAGGCAUGAAUUGCUCCCAGGCCAUGGGAGAAAAGUGAGUUCAUAACUGAUGUAAGGGCUUUAGAUUAAUAGAAGAUCAACAAUUUUGGUUUGAGAGAAUAAUGACUUACAUUGUUAUUUUUAACAGUUUAUGAACAAUUAUAUUCAGUGAUAUAUUAGAAACAGUGGGAAAACAGAAAAUUUUGGGUGAUCAAUGUCUAACACAAAGUAGUUCAAGUUGUUAAAUUAUUUAUUCCAAAAAGUAUGUUAUGUCUGUGUUAAAAAGCUAAGUCAUGUUUCAGUGUAGAAGAGUAAGAGAAAAGAUAUCUAAAAUAAACUAAGGCAUAGGAUCACAGAAUAUAUCCUGUUUUAUAACUUAAAAUAUUUUUUAUAAUGCAUAGUUUUAAAUAUGUGCAUAGCUAGAGAGUAGAGUAUAAUGAACCCUCAAACUUUGUGACUCUUGUUUCAUCUAUAGCUUUACAACACCAUUGAUAUAACAUUUCAUCUCUGAAUACAAAACUUAAUAAGUAAUAAUAUACUAUUAUCACAUUUAAAAAAUCAUCAUAAAAAUUUCCAUAGUAUCAUUCAAUAUAUGGUCAUUGUUUAAUUUCCCCAACUUUUGUGUAUGUGUGUGUGUGCACACUUGAAUUUAUAAGGAUGAUACAAUAUAUUGCAGUUGGUUAACAUGUCUCUUAAGUGUCUUUUCAUCUGUAGGUUGUCCUGUCAUUUCUUUUGUUUUUACAAUUUAUUUUUUAAAGAAAACAUUUUUGUUACUAUUAAAAUCACAAAUAUUUACCCAUCAUUCUUUAAGGCUUCAUAAUAUUCCAUUGUGUGGGUGUUCCAUGAUUUAUUUACACAGUCUUCUAUUGUUGGAUAAUUGUGUUCAAUGUUUUCCUAAUACUCAAUCUAUUGUGAACAACACCCUAAUACAUACAUCUUUGGAGACCUGCUUGAUUAUUGAAGAAAAAUUGAUAGAUACAGAAUUCCUGUUUGAAAGAAUCAGUCUCUCUUUCUCUUCCAAUGCUUUUUCCAAUGGUUUGCUUUACUUCUAAAGUAAAGGUAUGAACUUGCUUUUGAAUUUGAUUUAAAUUCAAACUCUCCAAAAAUUGAGGAUUCCUGCAAUAAAUAUUGAAACCAUUUCUUUCUAUACUGGUAGGGUUCAGGUAAACAGAGUCUUUCACUACAGAUGGGUCAGGAAGAGGUUCAUUGCAAGAUGACUAUACAGGUGUUCAUAGUCAAAAAGCUGGUUAAACUGGAAGGUGUCAUAUGUCCUCAGUGACCCACCCCUCUGGCUUGAUGAGUCACUUUAAUUUGAACUGAAGAUGUCACCCUCUUUCAUAAGAUUGAUGAAAAACCCUGAGCAUGUCAAUAGAAUGCCUUGGAAAAUGUGUUCAUUCCUUCUUUGAUUAGCUGUACUUUUACUGUGAGGUUACAAGAAAGUCUAGUCUCCAGUAGGGAAUGUGAGUAGUUGUUAUUGCCACAGGAUAAGAUUCUUAACUUCCUUUGAAAGCUCUCAGGAAUUCAGUGUGGGGUCUGAUGAAUGGGAAGGGGAUGGGGGUAAAGAUAAACAAGAUCAGCCGUGAAUUGACAAUUAUUGAAGCUAGGUGAUGGGUACAUGGUAAUUCAUUCUACUAUUUUCCCUAAUCUGGAGUAUGUGUGAAAAUUCACGUCCAUAAUAAAAAUUUAGAAGAUCUCCCAGAGCAAUAUGGCCAGUCCAUGGCCUAUGCCCCUGGGUGGCUCUUUGGGGCUCCAAGUACAGCCCUUGAAGCAAACGUGAAUAAGAUUUCAUGAUAAAUUAUUGUAAUGGGGGUGUUUUUAAAGUAAUAACAGGUCCUUGGAGAGAUUUCAAAUGAUAUUCCAUGCAAGCGUGUGCUACCAUUCACUUUUAUUUCAUGCAAUAAAUGAAUCAUAUAGGAAUAUUUUACAAGGGAAAUUAUUGUAGCGCCUCAUCAAUGACACUGGAGGGUUCUGCCUUAUAUCCUCUGUCAAGGAGACCACUCUUACAGAGCAGUUUUUAAAAAAACCUUCACAAUCAGGAAAUCUCACUUUCUAUACAAUCUGGUUUAUAAAAGGUACUGAAAACACCUAUGGUGUACCAAAUUGGGAUUCAUGAGAUAACACCGAAUUUUUUUUCUUUUAAACUUCUUCAGAAAGUCAGGCGCAUCCAAGGACCUCAUACACAGUAGGCCAUCACCUAGAGUGGCUCUAGAAAAUCAGGUGUCUAAAAUUUUAAUUGUAGAAUGAAUCCCAUGUUCUGAUGGAAUAUAUUGUAGAUAUAAAGAAUGCUUACAGGGGUGGUCUGGGUGGUUCAGUCAGUUAAGCGUCCAACUAGAUCUUGGCUUAGGUCAUGAUUUCACAGUUCAUGGGAUCUAUCCCUGCAUCAGGCUCUGUACUGAUGGCAAAGGGCCUGCUUUGGAUUCCCUCUGUCCCUCUCUCUCUGCCCCUGCCCUACUCGGGCUUUCUCUCUCUCUCUCUCUCUCUCUCUC